GACGAACGCUGGCGGCGUGCUUAACACAUGCAAGUCGAACGGAAAGGCCCUGCUUUUGUGGGGUUCUCGAGUGGCGAACGGGUGUGUAACACGUGAGUAACCUGCCCUUUACUUUGGGACAACUUCAGGAAACUGGUGCUAAUACCGGCUAGGUGCGCCUGCUGCAUGGUGGGCGUUGGAAAUUUUCGGCGGUUGGGGAUGGACUCGGGGUUUAUGAGUUUGUUGGGUGGGUAGUGGCCUACCAAGGCUUUGGCGGAUAGCCGGCCUGAGAGGGUGGCCGGCCACAUGGGGCCUGAGAUACGGCGCAGACUCGUACGGGGGGCAGCAGUGGGGAAUAUUGCACAGUGGGCGGGAGCCUGAGGCAGAAGCGCCGCGUGCGGGAUGACGGCCUUGGGGUUGUAAACCGCUUUAACCUGUGACGAAGCGUGAGUGACGUUAAUGGGUAAAGAAGCACCGGCUAACUACGUG
rnacentral:rRNA from 1 species